UAUAGUUUAUUUGAUAUUCCCUUCCUUUUAGAUAACUGUAGUAAUUCUAGAGCUAAUACAUGUGCUCUAACCCAACUUUACGGAAGGGUCGUGUUUAUUAGAUACAAAACCAACAUCAAUUGAUGGUGAUUCAUAAUAACCAAACGAAUCGGGAUUUAUUCCGAUAGAUCAUUCAAGUUUCUGACCUAUCAGCUUGACGGUAGGGUAUUGGCCUACCCUGGCAUUGACGGGUAACGGAGAAUUAGGGUUCGAUUCCGGAGAGGGAGCCUGAGAAACGGCUACCACA
rnacentral:rRNA from 1 species